UACGUAGGGUGCGAGCGUUGUCCGGAAUUAUUGGGCGUAAAGAGCUCGUAGGCGGUGUGUCACGUCGGCCGUGAAAACCUGCAGCUUAACUGUGGGCGUGCGGUCGAUACGGGCAUCACUGGAGUUCGGCAGGGGAGACUGGAAUUCCUGGUGUAGCGGUGAAAUGCGCAGAUAUCAGGAGGAACACCGGUGGCGAAGGCGGGUCUCUGGGCCGAAAAUUGACGCUGAGGAGCGAAAGCGUGGGGGGAGCAAACAGG
rnacentral:rRNA from 1 species